rnacentral:lncRNA from 1 species
CCUCUGCGCUGGUCCUCGUCUUUGCCAUCUGGGGUUUGACCUGAUGUUUGCUAGACUCCCAGUUCAAAAAGCCUGUGGCAGGGGUCAGUGAACAAGUGCCUGCAGUGGCCUGUUUUACUAAACAAAGCUUAAUGGGCACAAAGCCAAGCCCAUCAUUUCCAUACCGUCUGGGGCUGCUUUUGUGCGGUAGCAGCAGAACUGAAUAGUCAUAACGGAGGCAACGUGGCCUGUGAAGCCUAAGAUAUUUAUCGUCUGGCUCUUUACAGAAAAAAUUUACCAACCUCUGGUCUAUAGCUUCAAUUUUGUUUCGUUUUCCCUGGAGUGAGGCAGAGCUGUUCCCAGGCCACAGUCUUUUUGUUUUGUGGUGACAGGUCAUUUGAAUGAGGCAAAGGGGGCUCUCCCAGGAUCCCAGCCAGAAAGCAGGUGAAGCAAUCUGUAUUAGUCAGCUCUGGCUACUGUAACAAAAUACCACAGCCUGGGUGGCUUCAACAACAGAUAUUUUUCUUUCAGUUCUGGAGACUGGAAGUUCAAGAUCAAGAUGCUGGCAAAUUCAGUUUCAUUCUGAGGCCUCUUCUGUUGGCUUGGAGGCCACCAUCUUCCCGUGUCCUCACACAGCCUGGCCUUGGAGUGUGUGUGCAUGUGAUGGGGGUGUCUUGUGUCUCUUCUUAUAAGGACACUAAUCUUCUUGGAUUAGAGGUCUGCUCUUAUGCCCUCAUUUAACCUUAACUACCCCCUUACACACCCAGUCUCCAAAUACAUUGGGGUUGAAUCUUCAGCAUAUGAAUUUUGGGGAGAGACAAUUCAGUCUGUAAUAGAAUCCUAACUCUUUUCACAGAAGACUUUCUAAUUAUGCCACCCAGACAGAUGGGGAAGUAUGGCCAUGGAGAAUCCGACGCUUAUUUUGUAUCUUUGGUUGGAUUUCCCAGAUGCAAACUGUGAGAUAAAAACUUAUGUGCCAGCAAUGCAUUGACAACGGGUUCCCUGGGGAUUGUUCAGGGAAUUCUAGAGGAGCAGGGCGAGAGCUCAGGCCCACAGCAGGUGGCUUCAUCCUGCCCUUGCAGGGAAGUGCUGGGGUGCGAGUUCCAUCUCAGAGCCUGGGACAUCCACACCUGUCACUCAGUGGCUAAGGGCUGCCUGAGGGCGGUCCUCCAAUGGGAGUCUCGGGUGCAAGCGUCAGAGGCAAGAUCACAUAGAAGCCUGUGGAGGGCUGUGCAGCAGCUGUGAAAGAGCUUGGAGAGCAUCUGGGCAGGGCGUUGUCUGUGUGAUUACAUCUGCACAGAAAAGUCUGAGGCAACAACAAAAUGUAUAUCCAAGAGUGGUGAGGCUCAGUCUGGGAGGAAGGGACUAAACCUUUCCUCCAGACCUGGCACACAGUAGGUGCUCAGUUAGGCUUCAGAGCUGCUUGGAGAGGAGCUGGAGUGAUGGGUGACAGGCUGGGUCAGAGUUCUGGCUCUCCUCAGAGCUGCGAUACCUGCCUUGAGCCUCACAGUCCAGAAAAACCUGGGGUUUGACCAUUUGCUCCAACGAAGAACUUUUCUGAGUGUGGGUCUCAAAGACUUUCUUUAAAACACAGGGGAGUAGCUUUUCCCCAGCAGUGGUGUGAGGAGAGGGGUUCAGAAACACUGGGGUGUGGUAGGUGGGAACAGAAGAUUUGCAGGUAGCUUGAGUGGGAUUUUUGUUUCUACCUUGAUUUUUCACCCAUCUCAGAACAAAUGAAACAGUGGCUGACUUUACAUGUUUUUGGUCAGUUGUGUCAUGUCGCCUCAAAAAUUUUUUUUCCUCUUUUGGGAAUAUUGAACUGAGAAACUGUUAGAAAUAAAGAGAGUUCAGUAAGGCAGCCAGUCACAAAAUAAAUGUACAGAAAUCAAUAGCUCUCCUAUUUCCAACAGUAACCACUUAGAAAAAAUACUAGAAAAGAAAGACCUCGCUCACAAUAGAAACAAAAGAUAUUUAUCACCUCAAAGCAAACUUCUGGGAGAAAACACACAUGCUGCCCUUCCCUCCCUCGGCCCAGGCAUCCCUCCGUAGUGGGAGGAAAUUGUUAUGACUACAGCUUGGAUUCCUGGCCUCCACCCCUCAGAGCACAGGGGGCCAGCAUUUCUGUGGCUGUCUUAGCGGGAGGUUUUUGUCUCCUCAGAGGCAUGUUGAAGAUAUAAGCUCAUGACAGCUGCUCUGGGCAGCUGCCAAAGGGCAGCUGGGCCUGCUGGUUGCCCGUGGUGGUCACUGUGGGUGGUCACCAGAGCCCAGGGCCCGGCCGGAGCAGGGAGACAUUGGAGUGGUGCUGUUUCCUGGAGAGCCGGCUGGCUCUGGAUGGGUACAGGCUGACCACUGCUCCCACUCAGGGAUGCCUCAGUGAACCAGCUGGCCAUGCCAGUAUGUCUGCAGAACACAAAAGAGGUCACUGAUAAGAGUCUUUCCUGUAACCAGGCUGGUGUCCUAUCUGGGAUGGGGUUAGGUCGAGGAAGAAAUCCAGGGCUCUUUGAUCCCAGGAACAUUCUAAGCAGAUCUCCGACUUGGGUGGAAGUGUCACAUACAUUAGUCAGGAUGAUUUUCCUUUGCAAAUGGCAGAUAGCCUAGCUUAACCUGCUCCCUACCCCAAAAAGUGUAUGAACCAGAACAAGAGGAUCCCACCUGUUUCCCCUAGGUACAGGGCAGACCAGAUUGACUGCCCACUGCCAGCCUUUGUGGCUUCCCAAGGAGUCUACUUCACCCAUUCUCAGGAUGGGCCAGCAAGGAAGGGGUACCAAGGCUACCCAGGGGCAGCCUGCUACAGCAACAGAAAAAGAGGUGGGUUACCUCAGUUUCCUUGCCCGGAGGCAGGAUGGCUCUGAAAUAUGUACCCCACAGAUAUCCUGAAGUUUCUGAGUGGGACUGAGCCCAAGGUGGCCUUUAGCAGUUACAUGCUCCGCAGUGUACCUUCUCUUCUCUUCUCUCCUCUCCUCUCCUCUCCUCUGUCUUACUUCCUCAUUCCCCUGCUGAUGUGUUCUGGGAUGCUUGUCAAAUAAACUCUUUAAGCCUCAACUGAGAGAGAGAGAAAGAGGUGGAAGAGGAGAGGGGGCAGUGUGUGUAGGUGAGAGAGAGAAUGAGAGAGACAGAGAAAGGAACAGAAAAAGGGAAGGAGAGAUUUAGCCUCAUACAACUGGAAUCCAGGCAUAGGGUUAGAUCCAGAGGACUCAAACAGUGUCAUUAGGACUUAAUCUCUCUCCUCCUCCCAUCACUUGGCUCUGCUUCCUUCCUACACAGAAUGUCUCAACACAGUGGUUCCCAGAACUCUCAGGCUUAUAGUCUCCCAACUAAACCACCCUAGCAGAAAGAAGGGAAUCCAAGCAAAUCUUGGAAUUGCAAACUACUGACUUGUACACAUCAGCCAUCACUGAGGCCAGGUGGAUCGAAUGGUCCAAUUGGCCCGUCCUGAGGCAUGUGCCUGUGGCUCCCUUUCAGGUCUUCUGCACACCCACAUUCUCCUUCACCCAUCCACGCGGUUUCAUACGCUGUAGAGAUCGGAAGCAGGGAAAAGGGACUAUGUUUUGGAAGUAGAUAAGGGCAGACACUUGCCUGUGUCACGUGCUGAUUUGUAGACGGGAGAAGCCUUGGAUGCAUCUGUACUUCUAGAGUUGGAUCACUUGCUAAGUGUCACACAAUAUGGGUGACUAUUUUCAGAGAAUCCGUGGGUAAGCCAGACCACUCUUUUCCUCAAAGUUAUGAGACAAGAAAAGAACAUCCCAGCUGAAGUACUGCAUCCUUCUGCUUUCUAGUGAUUUUUGCUGCUAGUGAUUUCUGUGGAUGAAAAGAAUCUUUGACAAGAAAAUAGAAGGUGAGAAGGGGGCUGAUGUCUGGAGAGUCACUACUUUGCGCCAGGCAUCAUCCUGUCUGGUUGUGAUUCAUUUAACAUCAACCCUACCUCUUAUUGACGGGCACACAGAAGUGAGGAGGUGUUAAGUCAGGUACCGAAAAAGCAAAACAGGAACUCUGAGCCUGGACUGUUUUCACCCCUCAGCCAUGGUAUCACCAUUAUUUUCAAUGCUUUCCCUCAGAGAAUGGUGUCAGGAGAGGCAAGUAUGCUCUGCUGGUUCUAUGGUCAGGAUAACUCGUCUUCUCACAAGUUUAAAUACCAUGAUAUUGGAAAGGAGAGACUUUCAGUGACUGGGGCAUAGGUACACAUGGUCUAAGAAUUAGAAGCCAUCCAUUGUGCUCAUGAAAUCACAGAGAGCUUAAUAGCAAAGAAUUAGUCGUAUGCUCCCAUCCAGGCUGGAGAUGCCUGUCUGUGUAGUACAAGAGGCAGGCAAGGGGGACAGGCAGUUGGCUCCCGAGGGCAAGGACUCUGCCUGCAUACGUUAUGACUUUGUCCCCAGCACCCAGCACAGUGCCUGACACACAGUGGGUGCUCAGCAUGCAUGUGGUGAGUAAAUGAACAAAUGGGGUCACACUGGUGACUCUUUUCUUUUUUCUUUUUCUUUUAUUUUUUUUUUGUCUUUUUAGGGCUGCACCCAUGGCAUAUUGAGGUUCCCAGGCUAGGGGUCCAGUUGGAGCUGUAGCCACUGGCCCACAUCACAGCCACAGCAGAGUGGUAUUUGAGCCACAUCUGUGAUCUAUACAGAUCUAUACCACAGCAACCCACGAUCCUUAACCCACUGAGAAAGGCCAGGGAUCGAACCUGAAUCCUCAUGGAUGCUAGUCAGAUUCAUUUCUGCUGAGCCACAAUGGGAACUCCUCUUUUAGCUUUUUAGGGCCACAUGGGUGGCAUAUGGAAGUUCCCAGGCUAGAGGAUGAAUCAGCGCUGCAGCUGCUGGCUUGUGUCACACCCAUAGCAACACUAGAUCUGAGCUGUGUCUGCAACCUACACCACAGCUAAUGGCAAUGCCAGAUCCUUAACUCACUGAGAGGGGCCUGGGAUCUAAUCCACAUCUUCAUGGAUACUAGUUGGGUUCUUAACCCGCUGAGCCACAACAGGAACUCCCAACUUUUUUCUUUUUUUAACAACACUACUUUCCAGUAUCUUUCCAUCACAGCAAAUAAAUCAUUUCUGCUGGCUGCGUAAUAGUUCCUAAUAGGUCAACUUCCAAUACAGUUCAAAAUUGUUUGAUAUAUGUUUAACUAUUGAGUUCCCUAUUUUUGGACAUCUUGAGGGGAGAUGUUAAACAGUGCCAUGAAUGAACAAAACCUGCUCUUAAAUUUUUGCAGUUUUUUCAAAUAAUUUCCCUAAGAUACAUGCAGAAAAUAAUUGCUUAGUUUAAUAGCACACACAUUUUAAGGCUUCCUCCCCCUUCUUGGAGGGAUACACAUAGCCAAAUUGAUACCCAUAUGUAAUAAGAAAAAAUGUCAUUUCUUUUAAAAAAUGAAACAGAUUUUCCCUUGGCACCAUCUUGGGCUAGACAUAGCACAUAUUAGCACUCCAAAGCUAAUUAAUUCAUUUUUAUGGAUUAUUGUUUAAGAUGUGUGGGCCACUGGAUAAGGUUUGAAAAUCCACUUGCUUUUUAUUCCUACCAUCCUGUUCUGCGAAUCUUUGGUGACUCUCUGGAGAGGAUGAGCAUCUUGUCUUUGGGCUGCGAUGCCAUGUCUCAUGGAGCUUACAUCCUGCUUUGCUUCCUCUCCACACCCGUCACCUCAUUAGUGCCUCACACAGGAUCCAGAUUCCAAAAAUACUUGUGGAAUUAAUCGUUGGCAAGAGUGUGAGAAACCCAGACUUGCACACACUGUUGGUGGGAGUAUUAAUUGGUACAGCCACUUUGGAGGCAAUUUGGCAGCCUCUAUUAAAAUGUAAAAUGUGCAUACCCUGUGAUUCAGCAAUUACAGUUUUCCACGUCUUCUCAGGAGAAACUGUUGCACGUGUGCAGACGUUCGCUGGAGCACUGAUCAUAAUAGUAAAAUACAGAAAGCAACUCAAAUGUCUAUUAAUCGGGCAAUGAUUGAAAAAAAUGUCUUUUCCUGUGCAAUAGUUGGAAUGAAAUAGACCAGAGACUAAAUGUUGGGUCCCAUGGGCCAAAUCCAAGCCAGCAGACAUAUUUUAUUCAUGUUGCAAAGUAUUUUUGAUCCAUAUAAUCUGCAACUAUUUUAGUAGAGUUGAUUCUUAUUAUUUGUGGUAGUUAAGUUCUAUACAGUCGCUAUGAACACUGAAUUAGUGAAUACUGAAUUAGUGAAUAUUGAACCUUACUCUCCGGGGCAAAUACAGGAGUAGGUUUCUGUGGGUCUCUGGCCACAUUUUCAUCAACCAGUAAAUAUAUAGCCUUGUCUCAUGUAUGUUUUUGUUUAAAUAUGACUUAUUUAAUAUACAUUAUGGAUUCAUUAACAUUAAACUCAUGGCGGACAGAAUCAUAACUCAUGCCUUAACGAAGUUUAUCUAAAAGAUAUAUUUUCUCCAUAAGGCACAUCACAGCCUUAGGAACAUAAAAUUACAUUUCAGGACAUAACUCAGGGGCCAUUUUAAACAGAGAAAUUACAAAAAAAAAAAAAAAA